UUUGUGUGAAAUGGGCUAAUGAUUUAAAUAUCUCAGAGAAAUGAAAGGUGCAUCAAGUGAGCGCCUGGUAAAAGUGAUCGCGGGCUCGCGGAAAUGACAGGCGCGCGGAUGAGCUCGCGCUUGCUGAGGGACCCUGGUGAUGGAGCUGCGGCUGCUGCUGACACUGGAAGAUUAGCGGUGAGCAGCACUUUCAGUACACGCCGGUCUGUGUGAGGAUGAUUGUGAGAGACUCUGCUGGAAUUUGGCAGGCCCGCUGCUUGGAGAGGCGCCCCACGCUGUGACUCCCAUUCAGCGGUCCAGCGCGCUGUGAGGUUGGGAAGUUUCACUGAGCCGUGCACUCAAUGGCUCCACAAAGCUGAUUACAAGCCCCAGCGAAUUCCUGAAGAGACCGGGCAGCCACGCAGGUGUGCGGGAAACCGGGGCAACCCUUCAGAGUUAUAGUGACAGAGCAAGACAAGCCGGGAGACCACACAAAAAGCAAAGCGUCCCGCGAAGUGGCCAGGGCUUUGGUGGGAAAAGAGCACCUUAAAUGUCCUCUCCCUUGUGAGCGAAAAGGGAAGGGAGGAUAAACUUUGCGAAGGCCUAUUAAAACGAUGCCCAGUCUCCUCAGGACAGUGAACUGAAAUGCCUUGUUAGCAUCGGAAACGAAUUUCUGUUUUCAUGUUUGCCAUAUGCAUUCUGAAUAAUCUAGUGUCUAGUGUCUCGCAUAAAAUGGGGUUGGGGGUUAACGACGAUUCAUAAAACGUAAAGGCCUGCUCUCCCUCACCGUGCCCUAUUCAUUUCUCU
ensembl:lncRNA